GACGUAGGGCGCGAGCGUUGUCCGGAUUUAUUGGGCGUAAAGAGCUCGUAGGCGGCUUGUCGCGUCGUCCGUGAAAACCCACGGCUUAACUGUGGGCUUGCGGUCGAUACGGGCAGGCUGGAGUUCGGUAGGGGAGACGUGGAAUUCCUGGUGUAGUGGUGGAAUGCGUAGAUAUCGGGAGGAACACCAGUGGCGAAGGCGGCUUCCUGGACCGGUUCUGACACUGAGGAGCGAAAGCGUGGGGAGCGAUCCGG
rnacentral:rRNA from 1 species